GAUGAAGAACGUAGCGAAAUGCGAUAAGUAAUGUGAAUUGCAGAAUUCAGUGAAUCAUCGAAUCUUUGAACGCACAUUGCGCCCGCCAGCACUCUGGCGGGCAUGCCUGUUCGAGCGUCAUUUCAACCAUCAAGCCCCCAGGGGCUUGUGCUGGGGCCCUGCGGCUGCCGCAGCCUCCCAAAACCAGUGGCGGGCUCGCUAUCACACCGAGUGCAGUAGUUUACUCUUCGCUCAGGGCGUGUGGCGGGUGCUAGCCGUGAAACCCCCAACUUCUCAAGGUUGACCUCGGAUCAGGUAGGAAUACCCGCUGAACUUAAGCAUAUCAAUAAGCGGAGGA
rnacentral:misc_RNA from 1 species